GUGCUCACUUUGGCAGCACAUAUACUAAAACUGGAAUGAUACAGAGAACAUUAGCAUGGUCCCUGAGCAGAAUUACUCCUUUACUCUUAAUCCUUUGAUCAAAUUU
ensembl:snRNA U6 U6 spliceosomal RNA